rnacentral:tRNA from 1 species
UUAGCUCAGUUGGUAGAGCGUUUCGUUCGCAAUGAAAAGGUCAGGGGUUCGAUUCCCCUA